UGGUAUUCAGAGCCUCCUUCUCUAGCACAUCACGCACCCAUGGCCUCCUCAAGCUCUGCCGUCGCCACACCAGCCCUCAUCCCGAUCGUCGAUCGUCUUCACCGCUCCAACUUCCUGGUGUGGCGCGCGCAGGCCAUGGCAGCUAUCCGGGGCGCGCAGCUCGUCUCCUACCUCGACCCUGAGAGGGAGCUGCCGGCCCGGAAGCUCACGGACAAGGAAGGCAAGCCCACCGAUGUGCCCAAUCCGGCGUACGACAUCGACAGGGCUCGCGACUCCCAGGUGCUGAGUUUCAUCUUUAAUUCAAUCUCCGCACCGGUGAUGAUCCAGGUUGCACACUGCAACACGGCGGCCGAAGCUUGGGCCGCCAUCACGGAGAUCUUUAUCUCCCAGACUCAGGCGCACAUCGUCAACACCAGAAUCGCCCUCUCC
rnacentral:rRNA from 1 species